CAGGCAGGAAUUCACCAGGCGUUCCAAUCCCCAAUUCCAAGGAUGAUACAAAGCAGCUAUCAGCAGAGACUUCAAAGGAAGCCCCAAAGGCAGCUGGGAAGAGAUGGAGACAGUAUGAAAGUAAGGAAAGGGUUCUCAGAGGAGCGGCACCACUCUAACAGAAGAGGAAAUGCCAGGGAGAAGAGAUGCAAGUAGAUGGUCUGAUUUCCAAGAGACUCCUGGGAUGCUGUGUCCUGCCCCACUGAAGAGUUAGGGCCAAAACAACCUCCCCAAUCCCAGGACAUGUUCCUAUUGCUACAUGUUGCUAAAAUCUAAUGGCUAAGGUCCCAGCAGUUCCUGGGGGCUGCUGAAGCUAGACUGGUCCUCGGGCUCAUUUGCUCAGGCAGUCACUCAGACAUGUCUUAGCUCUGUGACUAUGCCAGAGAUAUGUCAUUAAAUGUAGUGUCACCUGGACAGUGGUUCCCAGGCUUUCAGCCUUCAUGGACCAAUAAAAAAAUUUUGUGGAGACA